ACGUAUGGGGCAAGCGUUGUUCGGAUUUAUUGGGCGUAAAGGGCGUGUAGGCGGCUCAUCAAGUCUGGUGUGAAAUUGCAGAGCUUAACUCUGCGUAUGCGCUGGAAACUGGUGGGCUUGAGUUCUUGAGGGGAAGCUGGAAUUCCAGGUGUAGGGGUGAAAUCUGUAGAUAUCUGGAAGAACACCGGUGGCGAAGGCGAGCUUCUAUCAGAGGACUGACGCUGAGGCGCGAAAGCGUGGGGAGCAAACAG
rnacentral:rRNA from 1 species